rnacentral:rRNA from 1 species
AUUGAACGCUGGCGGCAGGCCUAACACAUGCAAGUCGAGCGGAUGAAGAGAGCUUGCUACCGGACCUAGCGGCGGACGGGUGAGUAAUGCUUAGGAAUCUGCCUAUUAGUGGGGGACAACAUCUCGAAAGGGAUGCUAAUACCGCAUACGUCCUACGGGAGAAAGCAGGGGAUCUUCGGACCUCGCGCUAAUAGAUGAGCCUAAGUCGGAUUAGCUAGUUGGUGGGGUAAAGGCCUACCAAGGCGACGAUCUGUAGCGGGUCUGCGAGGAUGAUCCGCCACACUGGGACUGAGACACGGCCCAGACUCCUACGGGAGGCAGCAGUGGGGAAAAUUGGACAAUGGGGGGAACCCUGAUCCAGCCAUGCCGCGUGUGUGAAGAAGGCCUUAUGGUUGUAAAGCACUUUAAGCGAGGAGGAGGCCACUUUAGUUAAUACCUAGAGAUAGUGGACGUUACUCGCAGAAUAAGCACCGGCUAAUUCUGUGCCAGCCGCCGCUGUAAAAC